rnacentral:rRNA from 1 species
AGAACGAACGCUGGCGGCAUGCCUAACACAUGCAAGUCGAACGAGACCUUCGGGUCUAGUGGCGCACGGGUGCGUAACGCGUGGGAAUCUGCCCUUAGGUACGGAAUAACAGUGAGAAAUUACUGCUAAUACCGUAUGAUGCCUUCGGACCAAAGAUUUAUCGCCUAGGGAUGAGCCCGCGUAGGAUUAGCUAGUUGGUGGGGUAAAGGCCUACCAAGGCGACGAUCCUUAGCUGGUCUGAGAGGAUGAUCAGCCACACUGGGACUGAGACACGGCCCAGACUCCUACGGGAGGCAGCAGUGGGGAAUAUUGGACAAUGGGCGAAAGCCUGAUCCAGCAAUGCCGCGUGAGUGAAGAAGGCCUUCGGGUUGUAAAGCUCUUUUACCCGGGAAGAUAAUGACUGUACCGGGAGAAUAAGCCCGGCUAACUCCGUGCCAGCAGCCGC